AUUGACCUCGGAUCAGGUAGGAAUACCCGCUGAACUUAAGCAUAUCAAUAAGCGGAGGAAAAGAAACCAACAGGGAUUGCCCUAGUAACGGCGAGUGAAGCGGCAACAGCUCAAAUUUGAAAUCUGGCCCCCCCGGGCCCGAGUUGUAAUUUGCAGAGGAUGUUCUCUGGCGCGGUGCCUUCCGAGUUCCCUGGAAUGGGACGCCACAGAGGGUGAGAGCCCCGUACGGUCGGACUAACCAAGCCUGUGUGAGACUCCUUCGACGAGUCGAGUAGUUUGGGAAUGCUGCUCUAAAUGGGAGGUAAAUCUCUUCUAAAGCUAAAUACUGGCCAGAGACCGAUAGCGCACAAGUAGAGUGAUCGAAAGAUGAAAAGCACCUUGAAAAGGGGGUUAAACAGUACGUGAAAUUGUUGAAAGGGAAGCGCUCCUGACCAGAAACUUGGGCCGGGCGGCUCAGCAGGGGCUCGCCCCCUGUGUACUCCGUCCCGGUUCCGGGCCAGCAUCGGUUCUCGCUGGGGGACAAGAACGGUGGGAACGUGGCCCCCCCUCGGGGGGGUGUUAUAGCCCGCCGUAACGAUACCCUGGUGGGGACCGAGGAUUCCGCGCUUCGGCAAGGAUGCUGGCAUAAUGGUCAUCAGCGACCCGUCUUGAAACACGGACCAAGGAGUCGUCCAUUAGAGCGAGCGUUUGGGUGUCAAAACCCGUAGCGCGUAAUGAAAGUGAAAUUCUAGGUGAGAACCUCCUCGCGGGGGCGCAUCAUCGACCGAUCCUGAUGUUCUCGGACGGAUUUGAGUAAGAGUUUUAACGGACGGACCCGAAAGACAGUGAACUAUGCUUGUAUAGGGUGAAGCCAGAGGAAACUCUGGUGGAGGCUCGCAGCGGUUCUGACGUGCAAAUCGAUCGUCAAAUAUGAGCAUGGGGGCGAAAGACUAAUCGAAC
rnacentral:rRNA from 2 species